UCCCAGUUACAAAGCUGAAAUUAAGUUAGUAUGUUUGUAGCCACUUGGUGAGGAAAUUGAGGUUGAAGUGAUCAGAUGAAUACUGAAUCAGGCAUUGGCCAGGAUAGAACUAUCAAAAAUGACAUUGGAAUUGUAUUAAAGUGGUAUUUAAUUCAGCAGAUACAGCCAUAAGAAAACCCUAGUCCUUACCUGUCGACUGUCAAUGGACAGGUUCUGAGGGUUGUAGACAAAGGAAAAUGUAAACACAAGCUAGUAAAGUAACCCUCUACAAUGUAAGAUCUUUCCCAGACAAGAUUCCUAUGGCCUAGACUACCUCAGAGAGAGGUUAUUCCUUUGAGCUAGGCUUAUUUGAACAGCCUGAAAACAAAGCAGGCUGCUCGACCCACCUCUGUGCACCUCCAACAACCUAAAUCCUCACCCUAGACCUCUCAUCUAUAAUGUUCAACAAGGAAGAAAGAAGUCUCUGCUCUGGCUUUUCAUAGGAACUGAGCCUCUCUGCCAACCCUGGGUCUUCUCGCCCAAGAGCACUGGACACAGCCACCCUAUUGGAGGAGAGAAAGGAAGCUGCUUGUUGAAGAAAGUGAAAAGAAAGAACAGAAGACCCAUCUGUGUGUGCUGAGGCUGCCCUUCAAGAGGUUAACCUGCUGGUAAAGAUCCGGCCAACUUCAAGCCAGACCCCCUCCUCAGGGAGAGGCUUUUGUGAUCCUGGUCAUCCUGAGAGAGGGCCACAGUGAGGGGAGGCCUGGAAGAGAGAAGCCAAAAGACCUUUGACUUGCCCCUGGAGGUCACAGUGCUGCCUUGGAUCCCGAGGCACAUGCUGCUUGUUCUCCAGGUACCCCACAGGCCCAUGUCGUGUGUCCAUCACCUGCAAGCAUCAUGAAGAAAUGUGCUAGCUGGGCUGCAGCUUCAGACUGAACAUUCAUCAGAUUCUGAGAAAAUGACUUCUUAAAAAAAAAAAAAAAGAAGUCAGGAUGAGAUUUGACUGAGCAUAAACUAUGCGGCAGGCACUUCUGCACCCAUCAAUAAAUUAUCACGCUCACUCUCGUAAACAUUUUGUGAUUUAGGGACUCUCAGUAGAGCGAUGAACGCAUUUUUGCUUUCCGUACACUUCAGCUUCACGCAGAUGUAUUCCUGUUCAAGCUGCGGCGAACUGUUUAAGGAAACAGCGCCGCGCGUGUGGCUGUUAGUCACCACAGGUGUGCCUGUUGCACAGGUGUGUUUAAUCGACGCCUAGUAGAUUUUGCCAAGGCCAAGCCCUGGGUGAUUCCUCUGUCUUCUCUGCGGCCACUCCCAGGAUGCCGAGGGAUUCUGGGGAAGCACAAAGCCCUCCUCCCAGGGCCCAUUCUGAUGCAUCUCCUCUCCUAGGCUGGAACGUCACUGCUGUUCAGUGACUUCCCUGACCUCUCGCUGAGUUGUUGAGAAAUGUCUAAUCUAGUGACUCCACAUUCCUUAAGGCUUCCUGGCUGCUCCCGCCCCCCCCCCCCCCGGGCUCGGAUGGAUUUUUUUUUCUCCAAGACCACUUCACUGUUAGCAGAUGGCCAUUCUAGUACAAUAUUGCUCCCCCUUUCCUUUAAAUGGAUGCUCCCCUGACUUCACUCCAGAGAGACUCAGUCACCAUGGCAACCACUGCCGGCUUUGGUUCAUUUCCUCAGAAACCCCAACUGGCAGAGGGGUGGUUGAAUCAGGGAACUUUUGCAGGAAAAUUCUGGGAGCUUUUGAUUCUUGGGGCUAAAAUCUUGGAGGCAGCUCCAAAUUUAAAUCACCAGGAAGAAGCUGAUCCCUGAGCUCAAAGGAUAAGCCAAGAAGCGUCCAGAAUCAGCAAUCUGUUGUCCUGGAAGAUGCUGGACAGGUGUCACAGCGUUUGUGAAAACCCAGAGUGGGUCAAGAGACCCUGCUGUCAGAGGCAUUCUCACAUUUGGUUUCUAUGCUUUGGAUAUACAGUGAGGCCGGAAACCUUAAAGGAAGGAAAUGGGCGCCUAACAUUGCCUCUGCCUUCCCUGAAAUUUCAGAGCGGAUGCACUGAGUGGAAAUCCAGGUCUGCUUAGCAAACGUCAUUGUCCUCUACAGGCCAGACACUGUGCUCCAUUACAGGAUAGGAAGGGAUACAGCACAGGCUCGGCCCUGACAAGAGAUGCUAACAUCACAGAAAACAAGACUUUCGAAUUAGACCAUAGUCAGCUAUUCUGAAGGCCUGGUAUCACAAAGCUCAGACAAAACAUUGGAAAACCAGCAAGGAGACUGCCGCAUUCGGAGAGCCCUGGCCAAUAGAGAACCACUGAGCCUGCCGGAUUCGAACAGCCCUGGCCAAUAGAGGACAGCUGAGCCUCUACAACCCCUCCAAGCAGCCAGAGAUUUUCAUCCUAUUUUCAAUCAGUCCACAAAGAGACCAUAAAUUCUCCUAGGAGACACUCAUCCUUGAUGCACGAGAAUGUUUGAAAUGUUUGUUCCCCUCAUCUGCCUCUUCUUGCCUGCACAGCAGCUGAGAAAGGACUCUCGGCCAAACCUGAGGAUGAUAAUUUGGGAUUGUUCAACAACCAGUGGAGGAGAUGUGGUAAAGGGCUGCUGUGUUGACCUCUCUGGACCUGCCUGCAGGGAUCUUGUUCUUACUGUCACUACCUGGCCUCCUAGGACUUUCUCUAAAAUCUGAGUGGAAGUUUCUAUGACCUCAUAACUCAUGCAAGCCUGGAAAACGAGUGUCAUGUGAACAAUGCUAAGGUCUACUGCCGGCUGCAGCAGCUGAGACCCUGGCACCUUCUCCUGCUUCUGCUGCCCAUCAGAGUUUCUUACCUAUUAACCAGAGUUAGUCCGGAAGCUGUAUCAUACUGGAGUCUAAUGAUAAUAAAUGCUUACUCUCUUC